UUGAACGCUGGCGGCAUGCCUUAAACAUGCAAGUCGAACGGCAGCGCGGGGCAACCUGGCGGCGAGUGGCGAACGGGUGAGUAAUAUAUCGGAACGUACCCAGAAGUGGGGGAUAACGUAGCGAAAGUUACGCUAAUACCGCAUACGAUCUACGGAUGAAAGUAGGGGACCGCAAGGCCUUAUGCUUUUGGAGCGGCCGAUAUCUGAUUAGCUAGUUGGUGGGGUAAAGGCUCACCAAGGCGACGAUCAGUAGCUGGUCUGAGAGGACGACCAGCCACACUGGAACUGAGACACGGUCCAGACUCCUACGGGAGGCAGCAGUGGGGAAUUUUGGACAAUGGGCGCAAGCCUGAUCCAGCAAUGCCGCGUGAGUGAAGAAGGCCUUCGGGUUGUAAAGCUCUUUUGUCAGGGAAGAAACGGUAGAGGCUAAUAUCCUUUGCUAAUGACGGUACCUGAAGAAUAAGCACCGGCUAACUACGUG
rnacentral:rRNA from 1 species